UACGUAGGGGGCAAGCGUUGUCCGGAAUCAUUGGGCGUAAAGAGCGUGUAGGCGGUCCGAUAAGUCCGCUCUGAAAGCCCGGGGCUCAACCCCGGGAGGCGGGCGGAUACUGUCGGGCUCGAAUCCGGAAGAGGUGAGUGGAAUUCCUGGUGUAGCGGUGAAAUGCGCAGAUAUCAGGAGGAACACCAAUGGCGAAGGCAGCUCACUGGGACGGUAUUGACGCUGAGACGCGAAAGCGUGGGGAGCAAACAGG
rnacentral:rRNA from 1 species